AGCUUUGGUUCUUUUUUCCUCUUUAAAGUACUUUAAGAAAACAAAGCAGGGCCUUGGAAGUUGUGGUUCUUUUUUCCUCCCCUGUUGCAAAUUCGCGUUGUGGU